UACGUAGGGUGCAAGCGUUAAUCGGAAUUACUGGGCGUAAAGCGUGCGCAGGCGGUUCUAUAAGACAGAUGUGAAAUCCCCGGGCUCACCUGGGAACUGCAUUUGUGACUGCAUAGCUAGAGUACGGUAGAGGGGGAUGGAAUUCCGCGUGUAGCAGUGAAAUGCGUAGAUAUGCGGAGGAACACCGAUGGCGAAGGCAAUCCCCUGGACCUGUACUGACGCUCAUGCACGAAAGCGUGGGGAGCAAACAGG
rnacentral:rRNA from 1 species